GCCAGGAUAGCUCAGUUGGUAGAGCAACUGAUUCGUAAUCAGUAGGUCCGGGGUUCAAAUCCCCGUUCUGGCU
rnacentral:tRNA from 1 species